CGCUGGCGGCAUGCCUUACACAUGCAAGUCGAACGGCAGCACGGGAGCAAUCCUGGUGGCGAGUGGCGAACGGGUGAGUAAUAUAUCGGAACGUGCCCAGUCGUGGGGGAUAACGCAGCGAAAGCUGUGCUAAUACCGCAUACGAUCUCUGGAUGAAAGCGGGGGACCUUCGGGCCUCGCGCGAUUGGAGCGGCCGAUAUCAGAUUAGCUAGUUGGCGGGGUAAAGGCCCACCAAGGCGACGAUCUGUAGCUGGUCUGAGAGGACGACCAGCCACACUGGAACUGAGACACGGUCCAGACUCCUACGGGAGGCAGCAGUGGGGAAUUUUGGACAAUGGGCGCAAGCCUGAUCCAGCAAUGCCGCGUGCAGGAUGAAGGCCUUCGGGUUGUAAACUGCUUUUGUACGGAACGAAACGGUUGUCUCUAAUAAAGACGGCUAAUGACGGUACCGUAAGAAUAAGCGCCGGCU
rnacentral:rRNA from 1 species